GUGCCAGCCGCCGCGGUAAGACGUAGGUGGCGAGCGUUGUUCGGAAUCACUGGGCAUAAAGCGCACGUAGGCGGCCAUGUCAGUCGGGUGUGAAAGCCCUCGGCUCAACCGAGGAACUGCGUCCGAUACUGCAUGGCUUGAGGUCCGGAGGGGAGAGUGGAAUUCCCGGUGGAGCGGUGAAAUGCGUAGAGAUCGGGAAGAACGCCGGCGGCGAAAGCGACUCUCUGGUCGGAUCCUGACGCUGAGGUGCGAAAGCUAGGGGAGCAAACGGGAUUAGAAACCCGCGUAGUCC
rnacentral:rRNA from 1 species